rnacentral:rRNA from 1 species
GUUGGCGGCCAGAUCGGGAGGGAAACACCCGGUCUCGUUCCGAUCCCGGAAGUUAAGCCUCCCAGAGGUGUGGAAAGUACUGCUCCGCAUGGAGCGGGAAAUCCACGUCGCCGCCAACC